UCCAAGUAAAGAAAUAAGUGAAGCAGCUAGGCUACAUCCACCACUCUAUAAACUUGCUUUACAAGCGUUAAAUCAAUUAAGAGCAGAAGAUAAUGAACAUGGGGGGAGGAAUGUUUCAAAAGAGAUGAUCCAAAUACUAAUAGCCCUUCCACUGAAGAGUUGGUAAAAACCUUCAGCAUUGAUUUUUAUCCUGUGAGAAUGCAGUGCGAUGGUGCCACAGAUUUAACGGGUGAUUUCGUGAUUAAGUCAACCAUGGGAAAAUCUUUCGACGGCUUUAGAAAAAUACUUUGAGAACAAAAGUUGGAUUCUUAUUUUAGGGAAAGCUUCU
rnacentral:lncRNA from 1 species